rnacentral:rRNA from 1 species
CGGCAGGCCUAACACAUGCAAGUCGAACGGUAACAGGAAGCAGCUUGCUGCUUCGCUGACGAGUGGCGGACGGGUGAGUAAUGUCUGGGAAACUGCCUGAUGGAGGGGGAUAACUACUGGAAACGGUAGCUAAUACCGCAUAACGUCGCAAGACCAAAGAGGGGGACCUUCGGGCCUCUUGCCAUCGGAUGUGCCCAGAUGGGAUUAGCUAGUAGGUGGGGUAACGGCUCACCUAGGCGACGAUCCCUAGCUGGUCUGAGAGGAUGACCAGCCACACUGGAACUGAGACACGGUCCAGACUCCUACGGGAGGCAGCAGUGGGGAAUAUUGCACAAUGGGCGCAAGCCUGAUGCAGCCAUGCCGCGUGUAUGAAGAAGGCCUUCGGGUUGUAAAGUACUUUCAGCGGGGAGGAAGGGAGUAAAGUUAAUACCUUUACUCAUUGACGUUACCCGCAGAAGAAGCACCGGCUAACUCCGUGCCAGCAGCCGCGGUAAUACGGAGGGUGCAAGCGUUAAUCGGAAUUACUGGGCGUAAAGCGCACGCAGGCGGUUUGUUAAGUCAGAUGUGAAAUCCCCGGGCUCAACCUGGGAACUGCAUCUGAUACUGGCAAGCUUGAGUCUCGUAGAGGGGGGUAGAAUUCCAGGUGUAGCGGUGAAAUGCGUAGAGAUCUGGAGGAAUACCGGUGGCGAAGGCGGCCCCCUGGACGAAGACUGACGCUCAGGUGCGAAAGCGUGGGGAGCAAACAGGAUUAGAUACCAUGGUAGUCCACGCCGUAAACGAUGUCGACUUGGAGGUUGUGCCCUUGAGGCGUGGCUUCCGGAGCUAACGCGUUAAGUCGACCGCCUGGGGAGUACGGCCGCAAGGUUAAAACUCAAAUGAAUUGACGGGGGCCCGCACAAGCGGUGGAGCAUGUGGUUUAAUUCGAUGCAACGCGAAGAACCUUACCUGGUCUUGACAUCCACGGAAGUUUUCAGAGAUGAGAAUGUGCCUUCGGGAACCGUGAGACAGGUGCUGCAUGGCUGUCGUCAGCUCGUGUUGUGAAAUGUUGGGUUAAGUCCCGCAACGAGCGCAACCCUUAUCCUUUGUUGCCAGCGGUCCGGCCGGGAACUCAAAGGAGACUGCCAGUGAUAAACUGGAGGAAGGUGGGGAUGACGUCAAGUCAUCAUGGCCCUUACGACCAGGGCUACACACGUGCUACAAUGGCGCAUACAAAGAGAAGCGACCUCGCGAGAGCAAGCGGACCUCAUAAAGUGCGUCGUAGUCCGGAUUGGAGUCUGCAACUCGACUCCAUGAAGUCGGAAUCGCUAGUAAUCGUGGAUCAGAAUGCCACGGUGAAUACGUUCCCGGGCCUUGUACACACCGCCCGUCACACCAUGGGAGUGGGUUGCAAAAGAAGUAGGUAGCUUAACCUUCGGGAGGGCGCUUACCACUUUGUGAUUCAUGACUGGGGU